ensembl:lncRNA
AUGAGAUUUUACAAAAUAAGACCAUACCACACUUUCCUAUUUCCCUGAUGCCUAGAACAGUUCCUUAACAUAGGAGGUAGGUUACAAAGGUUUAUUGAAUGAAAGGAUAUGACUUGUAAAUGUAUAUUUUGUGUCUACUAUUUAAGAUCCACAAAGAAAUCAUCAAAGCCAUGUGAAAACAUGGUAACCAUUGAUCAAACAAUGUAAUAUUAUCACUAUAGUUUCUCAGUAGGUCACAAUCCCUCAAGACUCCGCAGUCAAAAUGGAACUCUACAUUGUUUCAUAGCCUCUUUUUUAGAUUGGAGUCCAAGAGCUACAUCAGAAGUAAGUGGAGAACCUAGGAAUUGGAGAGGAUAGAGUAAAGAUUGAUCCCAAAGAGCAAAGACCAUUCAUCUAAACUUAGAAACAGAAAAGUGGAAUGUAUGACAUUGAAGAGAGUGUCCAAACAUAGCAUCAAAAAGAUUUAUUUUCUUCAUCAGUACUGAAUGAUUCCUGACAACCAUCUAGCAGCAUUAUUUGUGGGUUGUUCUCUAACACCUCACCCCAAUAUAUAUAUAUAGUAAAGUAACACUGAUAAGUUAAGGUAAACAAGAUAUCUAAAUACCAUUACACAAAAAUCAGGGGUCUGUGAUGGCUGAACAAAUUGCCCUAUGUACUAGAGAGGGGAAAUCAGAAGAUGUCACACCAGGAAGUAGUUGAAUGAAAGAAGCUGAAUCUUGAGCCCCCCUUCCCUCUCUACUUCCUGUUCUUCCUUUCACCAAGCAACCUAAUGGAGGUUUUCUUCACAGAUGAAAAGUAAUGGACAAGGGUGGAAUGAAAGGGACCACAUAGUUCACUGUACAUCUCCUUUCUUAAAGAAGUCUCAUCCACUGCUGAGCUUUGAUGAAGGACAUUAGCUUGGUAUGGAAGCAAGAGGAUGUGAUUUCAUGAAGAAAACUAUCUCUCAUAACAAAACCUGCCAAGGAAAGAGAAGGGAGGGAGUAGGAGAAAGCAGUUCCCCCAAAGCUACCCACAUCAAAAAUGAACAACUAAAACAGUCCUGUAUAGAGGCAAUUAGGAAGCAUAAUGGAUCGAGUGCCAGGAGUCAUAGGAUCUGGUUUCAAAUCUGGCCUCAGCCACUUCUUAGCUGGAUGACUCUGGCUCCAUCUUUCUGCCUAUUAUCACACAUCUACAUUGGUACAAGGAAUACAGAGAAGAAAUCAGAAAGGCCAGAAAGAAGCAUAGACAAGAGAAUUGCCUGGGAAGGAAACUACUUCUCCCAAAGAAGAUCAGCACCUGCUCUGCAAUGUCAGUCUUAGAGAGGAAUGUGGAGCACGGAGAAGUUCAAUGUCAUCCUCUCCAUGGAACCGCAUUGGAGGUAACACUUGCACUCCUCAGUGCUCCUCCUGCCUCUGCUCUAAGAUGGGCUCUCCACAUACUCCACUUAUCCAUACUGCCUUGCAGAGAAGAUAUUCUAUAUAGGUUUUAAUAAAUGAAUUUAAACCGGACCCCUCA